rnacentral:rRNA from 1 species
UUAAUGGCCGCGGUAUUCUGACCGUGCAAAGGUAGCAUAAUCAUUAGCCUAUUAAUUGUAGGCUGGAAUGAAUGGUUGGACGAAAUAUUGACUGUCUCAUUUUAUUUUUUAAAAUUUAAAUUUUGAGUUAAAAUGCUUAAAUUUUUUUAAUGGACGAGAAGACCCUAUAGAUCUUUAUUUUUAUUUUAUUAAUUUAUUUAGAUUAUUUCUUUUUUAUUUAUUUUAAUUAUUUUGUUGGGGUGACAUGGGGAUAUUAUUAACUCUUUAUUUUUUAAUUCAUUUAUUUAUGUAUAUAUGACCUUUUAUUAUUGUUAUAAGAUUUAGAUACCUUAGGGAUAACAGCGUAAUUUUCUCUGAGAGUUCAUAUUGACGAGGGAGAUUGCGACCUCGAUGUUGGAUUAAGAUUAUUAUCAGGUGUAGGGGCUUGAUUAAUAGGUCUGUUCGACCUUUAAAUUCUUACAUGAUCUGAGUU